UACAGAGGUCUCAAGCGUUGUUCGGAUUCAUUGGGCGUAAAGGGUGCGUAGGUGGCGCCGUAAGUCGGGUGUGAAAUUUCGGAGCUUAACUCCGAAACUGCAUUCGAUACUGCGGUGCUUGAGGACUGGAGAGGAGACUGGAAUUCCUGGUGUAGCAGUGAAAUGCGUAGAUAUCAGGAGGAACACCGAUGGCGAAGGCAGGUCUCUGGGCUGACACUGACGCUCAUGCACGAAAGCGUGGGGAGCAAACAGG
rnacentral:rRNA from 1 species